AUCUUUUCAAAUUCAUAGUUUUUACAAUCACUGUAUUUGAAAUUCAGUGCACUAAGAACCCUCAUCCCUCUCUCACUGUGAACAGUCGAAGUUCCAUCUGUCACUUUAGAGUGUCCUCGAUUUCAUUUUAAACCUUCAUGUAAUGACUAGAUGCCAAAUCUUCUUUCAGCUGCCUAAAAACACCUAAAACUUAAAAGAAAAUGUUAAAAGUAAUUAUUAUAAACUACUAAUUUAUUUAUGUUUUUCCAAGAUAUGUUGCUGUUUGACCCUUUACUGGAGGGAAGCAAGGAAACAAACAAUAACAACAAAAUGUAGGUCCAGGGAACUGAAACUAACAAAUCUAAUCACUGAUUAGAAGCUCCUACCCCUGUGUAAGAUGACAGCUUGCAGCUAUUUUAUGGAAUCCCUCCGGUGGUCCAUUACAUGCUGGGCAAUGUUGAGAGCCAAAGCUAGCCUAACCCUUCAUGAGCCUCACUCUUCCUGCACCGAUGAUGUUCUUCUUUACUGUGAAACACAAUGGAUGACUACUGCUGUGAUGUGCUUGCCAGGAACUGUAGCUAAAGGUGCAGUAAGGGAUACUGCCAUUCCAUUCUCUAGUCCCAUAUGCAAAAUAACAGCUCUUCUUGCAUGCCUCAAUGAAUUUUGAAUUUAAAUUAGGACAUGAAGAUGUUUCUACUUGUCAAGAACUGUGAAGGGUCAGAAAUGUUACUGUGCUUGCAAGCUAUUAAGUUAGCCUAUCAUAAUUUUGUGGAUGCUGGCAGAAGACACAGGAUUCCCAGGAUAGAGGCAAAGGACUAUGUUGCUUAUAAGAGGCAUUGUUUCUUAAUCUUGUCUUACUGGACUGGCUUGAAUAUUCUGCACAAUGUGGAGUUAAAAUGAUGUUAGUGGACUUCAUUAUCUUUUCCCUGAUUUUGAAGAAAAUGCUUUCAACAUUCAAAUUAAUUAUUGUGAUUUUAGUAGUUUUUAAUAAAUAUCCUUUAAGUAGCAUAGAGUACUCUCUUCUUUGUAGAUUGUUAAUAGGUUUUUUGGUGUGUUAUUUAUUUAUUUAUUUAUUGAAAGAGUCUCACUUUGUCACCCAAGGUACAGUGCAUUGGGGGUCAUUAUAGCCCACUGUAACCUCCAACUCCUGGGCUCAAGUGAUCCUACAGCCUCAGCUUCCCAAGUAGCUGGGACUACAAGUACAUGCCACCACAUCCAGCUAAUUUUUUUUGUUUUUAGUAAACACAGGUUCUUGCUCUUACUAAGGUUGGUCUCGAAUGUUUGUUUUUAAUCAAAAAGGAAACUCCAGUAGGGUAAGAAUUUCUAAUUGUCUAAUUUUCUCAUUGGUAUAUCUCCAGUGCUUGGAAGAGUGACUGGCAUAUAGCAAGUGGCCAAAAAAUAUAACUGGUUGUUAAAUGUUGAACAUUUAACUGGAUGUUGAAUUUUGUACACUUUUUUUCCCUGCAUUCAUUUUGGCCAUCCCAUAAUUCCUCACAUUAAUCUACCCAUGUACUGAAUUGCAUUAAUAUAUUUUUUAAUACUAAACAAGCUUUGCAUUUUUAAAUUUUCCUCAAGAGAAGCAGAUGGUGAGAGGUAUGACAAAUACUGCUGUGACUAUAAAAUUUCUAUAAAAGAAUUUAGGAGGAUGUGACAUCAAGCUGAAACUAUCAUUUUGGGGAUAUAAGCACAUAUUUUUUUAUUUUUCCCUUAGUAUUCAAGCUGAAAGGUGAAAGAUGAGACAGUAUGUUACUAUAUACAAAAUAAAAACGUGUGUUCAAAGUUCUCUAAAGAUUUAGAUUCCAAAUCAAUGUGUGAAAAGAUGGGCUUAUGGAAUAAAGCUCAGGGUUGCAAUUUAAUUAAUCAGUGUGCUAGAACUCGCUGUGACAUAAAUCAGCUAAAAAGUGUCUAUAAGAAAAUUAAUGAUAAAGAUUAGCUUAAUAGGGGAUGUGGAUUAAAUCACCUUUAAGUUAUAUUCCCAGUUCUGGUAUUGUUGGCCCCUAUGAAUAAAGUAUUAGGAAAAUAAUGAGAUAACCUAAAUUUAUUCUGACCUAUAAGUAAUUUUUGCUGCUCAUCUUUCCCAUUCCAAACUAAGAUUGUAAAUGGUCUUGCUGUUUAAGACUUCUUAAGAAAUAAUUUUCUAAUAUGCUAUGUGGUUUUUCCCAUACCUGAUCACAUCUAAGAACAUUUACUGAGUUAUUUUCCCAUUGAAUAUUUCUCUGCUUGGUUAUAUUCUUGCAUUCACAAAUAGAAACCCAACAUUCUCUUGCUCUGCAAAUCCUAAAGAUGAAAGCUACAUCAGAAGGAAGUAAUCCUUUAACUGCUCACAUGACAAAAUCUACAUAAGUUGUACACAAACACAUAUACCCACAUAAACACAAAUAAACUUCCUGAGCUAUUCUGCAGAAUAGGUCGGCACUUUGAUGGUCAGAAAAGUGUUUCUAUAUUUGAUAUUGAUAAAUUUCAUAAGCUUUGAAGAACAUAAAAUCUAAGAUAUUACUAUUGCUUACUGACUAUUUUUCUAUAAUGAUAGUUGCAAGUGAUAGUAAUUCUGACUUCUGUGGAUGCAAUGAGAGUUAUUAGUGAAACAAUUAUUUGGGCCACCUUGAUGGUGAUUUUAUUUACAUGAAACACUAAUGUUUAAUUUUAUUUUCAUCUAAUAUAUUUAGUUCUUAUUUUGGAAACUUUUGUGAAGUUCAUUGCUGAUUCAUUGUAGAUUUGUUAGUGAUUCCUACCAGCAGCAUGUGUUUAUUUCAUAUUAACAUUGGUUAAUUACAGAAGGAAGAAUAAAACCAGAUUACAUAUGGUACCAAUUUUUUCCAAAUGCCAUAUAAAACUAAUCUAUGGUGGAUGUGAAUGACCUUUGUGUAAUUUCUCUAGCCCUGGUUAAAAUUUGUGAUAUAAUUAUUAAGCUUUAUAACUAAUUACCUUUUUGAAAAAAAAUUGAGGGAAAAUUUGUAAAUUUGGGCAAUGCAAGACGUGGACAAAAUAUCCAACUGGGUGAUAUGGUACUUUCAUCCAUUCAUGAUAUAUAUCAUACUCUAUGUCAUUUUUAUAUUUUAAUCCCAAAGUUUCUUUUGCUACUUCCUGUCUAGACACAGCUCUCCUGCUCACCAUUUUCAUAAGGACUGUAUAUGCCCCUCAUCCAUGCUUAUAUAUGACUUUAUUUGAUAUUGUUUCUUUCAGAGGUAAUUGUAUUCAGUAAAGAUGUAUGGCAUGCGUGCCCAAUGUUUUCCCUUUUCACCAAAAUGUUGACUCUACAAAGAGUAUUUCAAGGCACAUUGAGCUUUCUGUACACCACUAAGGAGCUGGAAGGGUAAUAUUCAGAAACAGAUAACACCUUGUAAAAGUAUUUUAAGCUGAACUGAAAUGACAAGGACAUUUCUGAGAUUUCAUGUUUGAAAGAAGGGAAUACUGAUGAUGUGAGACUUUUACAAUAUUUCAUUGUCAGUUUCAUGUCUAAUGACACCUAGUAUAAUUUAUUUGUGCCCUCUUUAGGAACAACAUCAUUUAGGCAAAAAUUUUUUCACAUUAAUAAUCAGAUAUUUCUCCCUACACAUUCUUCUGAAAGGUGGUGAUACAGGUUAUGUAGUUGGCUCAGAAAUAUUGAGUAGAGAAGUGGGAGAGUGCUAAUUGAUUCAUUUACAUUUUUCAUUUGAGGCACUCUCCUAAAACCCCGUGUUUAAGAUUCUAUCAAGACCUCCAAAAUCGCUAGCCAUGGUCUAGAAAGCAAAAUUACAAUUUCUAUGCAAAUUGAAGUUGCUAAAUAGUUGUUGGCUGUAGUGCAUCAUAAAAAGUCUCUUGAGGACUACAUUCACAUGCUGCAAAAAUACUAUAAUCAACUACUUAUGUCCAUCAUGGGUGCAGGAGGGAGACAGGGCAAUUAAUGUGUCAGAUUAAUAAUGUCUAUGCUGGACCACAUGCUGAUCAUCGAAUGGGAUCAGAGCUUGGUGAUCUGUUUGGGACAUGGCCUUUAGUCAUUAUUACUAACAAAUUCCAAAAAAUUACAAUGCUUUUGAAGCAAAUCAUUUCCUUUAUUUAUGUUUUUUUAUUUGAAAAGUUUGCCCUGGCCACAAAAUUGAAUGAGCUAUUCCAACUAUAUAAUUGUGUAAGUGUUCCUAGAGGUUAAGAAACAGAAAGAGUGUGUAUCACACUUGUUUUCUAUCUGUUUAAAUUAAUCUGGCAAAAUCAUAAAACAAAAAUGAUAAAAUCUGACAUUAUUAUAGCCCUGUAUAUCAGUGUAGCUCUAUAUACUCUCAAAGCACUUAUCUGCUAGAUGCUUUAAAUUUUUAAUCCUAUAAUGACCUAUAAUGACCUUAUAAUGACCCCCUAAGAUAUAGAAGGGAAGUAUUCAUAUUCCUAUUUUAUGUAGCAAGAAACUUGAUAUACAGUAAAUCAGUGAUUGAACAUGGACAAAACUCAAGUAUCCAACCUUUAAAAAGUGGUAUUUCUGUUAUACUACUUUAGCUUUCAUUAUACCAUGUAAAGUGAAGACUGGAUAACUAAUGUUUGUGAAGAGCUACUUAUAUAUGAAACACUAUGCUAGUAGCUUUAUAAAAAUUAUCUCCUUUAAUUCUCACACUAACCCUCUGAGACCGCUGAAAAUUAUUUUUUAUCUUAUAACUUUUAUGAAUAAAAGCAUUAAGAUUUAGAGAGGUUAAUUACCUUGCCCAAUGAAAACAACUAGUAUAUAGCAAAGCUAGCAUGAACGUUCGGGGUGGUUAAUGCCAAAACUACCACUUUUCAGGCAUAUUAUAUAAUCUUCCAAAGUUUGUUGGUCCACGAUCAAGAAACUUUUCCUUUCUUCUAAACUGCUACUUGCUUAUGACCCCUUUUCUGGCUUCUUUUUUCAGCAUCUCUCUGCCAAGUAUAAUCUAUAAGCUGGGUUUGGCAGCCAAAAUAGUAGUUAUCCUUUGCUACUGCUGAGGUGGUGCUUUGCCUGUGAGUUUCAUCCUGUUCAAACCUUGUGAGGUGCUAAAUUUAAAUUUAUAAAUACCUCACUUAAGACAUAGCAAAAAUAUGAGUGAAUUUUGCAUAACUAAGAAUAUAGUAGAAUUUCAGUUUCACUUACUAUAAAAUAUAUCUUUAACCUUAGAAUUAAACAAGAUAAUACAUUGAGAGUGUUACACAAGAUGCCAGGCACAUAGUAGGUAUUUUUUCCUUUCCUUUUAUUCUCCACCUGCCUUUUAAGGGUUCAGAAUAAUGUGUGUUCACAGAUAAGAAACAGCAAGCACUAAAUAAGAAAACUUACUUUUUCAACAAAUUGUUGGGUUUAUCUAUUGUUCAUUAUUGGAGUUUUGUUCUUCUUUACUCUUCUGUAAAUGAAAAGAAAAACAAAAGCUUCAUCAUAUUCUGUAUUAUAAUAUCACUAUAUGAAUUCUAUUAAUAAUAAACAAUCUGAUAAAUUUGGUCUUGAGAAUUUUCCAAACAUACUUUUUUUAGAAAAUAGCAUAAACUUUAUGUUCUUUUCACCAGAGUGGAAAUUUUUAUGUUUUUUGAAAACAUCCAGUACAGCCUUGAUCAGAGACUCUUCAUAAAAGAUACCAAUCUUAUAUUUGAUGUACAUCUCUAACUCAAACAAUGAGCCUCAUUCCAUUUUGGUUCUGCAAAUAUGUCUUAUGGAAUGUUAUUCAUGAGUAGGAAUCAUGGAAAUCUUCUGAAGACCAGUUUUUGCAACUUUUCUAGUGAAAGGAUAGAUGCCUUACAGUUGCUCUGUAUUUUGGUAAUAUGGCUUUCUUUUAACACGUUUGUACAUUUCCCAGAUUUGAAUGCCUUUCCAAACCUAUCUCACUUUCAUGCCUGAUUGAACUUUCACAAUUUUCUCAAUGCCUUUUUGGAUCAGUAUUUAGCCCAACUGAUCACCCCUUCUAGAUAUAUAUUUAGCAAUUAUUACCACACAUUGUAGCACUUAGUUCUUUCUAAAUAUUCCAUGAAGGUUAUCUUAUCUCCCUCCCUAGAUUUAUAUCUCUAGGGGUAAAUCUAGGGCUUAGCUGAGUGUCAAAACUAUUAUGAGGUUUAUGUGAAGUAUUUGUUUGAUGGUUAAUUAAAUUGAAGUCAUUGGAGGAAAUACUAUAUAAAGGGAAAUUUUCAUCUCCAGUAUAUGCCAUUUAACUUCAACUUGACCAAGAAUAGAAAAUUGCUUUGAUCUUUUGUACCUAUUAUCAUCAGUGGUGAUAAAUUGUUAUGUUGAAAAGUACUUAGAGACUGUGUCUUGGUUCAGUUAGUCGUGCCAUGAUUGAUUAGCAAUCCCUUCCUUAAACACAGGAAGUAGGGAUGGGGUGAGGGGAGCACUCUUGGGUGCCACCACUCUAGAGUUCUUUGCAUAGUAAUUAUUGUCAAAUGAAUGGGAAACUCUUCCAUAUAUAUGUAAAUUUUCCCAAAAUGCUUGAAGACAGAAAAGUGGAUCUGGAAAACAGAAAAACUGUGGAUCAGAAUGUGGCUAGUUAUUAAAGAUUAAACUCAAUAUUGCCUCUUGCUAAAAGUCUUUCUUCAACUUUACAAGCUUCUGAGUUUGUGCUAUUCUCUGCUCCUGCAUGCCUUUGUAUUACUGUAUGCUUACCUGAAUCAGCAUAUAUUUUUGUGUUCAUUAGCUUAUGAUUUAACUUUGAGUACAGGGGGAAAGUCUCAUUCAUUUUAAAAUUCCUAGUAUCUGUCAUAGUACCUGACAUAUAGUAGGCUCUAUCUUUGUGGUUACAGAAUAAUGUCGUAACCAUGGGCAAAUGAAAGAUGACAAGUAAACAAGUAAUAAAAUUUUAUAUCAUUGAAAUAAUUUUAUUUCAAAAUUCAGUUUUGUUUUAACAUUAGGAAAUAUACCAAUACUCUAUAAACCAGCACUUCCAUUUUUACAAUAAUAAUAAAAUUUUUACAGCCACAGAACUACUUUGCAUUACUAGAAUACUUCUUCUUUAUAAAGCCCCAAGUGCUUUACAGCAAAUGACAUAGCACUCUAAUUAUGAUGCUUUGAGGGACAAACAACUUACUGACAACUUCUUACAGCUCAUUAGCAUCUGGCACAGAAUAUCAUAGUGAAAAAGAUCUUAAAGAAUAUGUAGACUGACCACUUCUUAUAGGAAAUGAGACUAUGAAACUGCAGAGAAGUGACAUGAUCCGCUAAGGUCUCACAACUGGCAAAUUAUGGUGUCAGGGCCAAAAUUUAUAUUUCAGAUAUCAUGGAUAAGCCAUGAAAUUUCCAACUGUCUGCCAUACUUCCCCUUCUGCCUAAAAGAAGUGUUUACAGGAAGAGAAUUUACAUAAAGUGGAGUGGCCUGUGACAAGGAAUCUGCUACCCUGUCUACAACACAAUGUACUAGGGAAUGACCUAUUAGCCAAAGGCAGAAUUUGGUAGGGUAGGUAUUUCCUUGCCUAUGAGAUGGGUUGCUUCAAGCAUGUUCUCAAUAGUGAAAAAUCAUGCUAGAGGCUGACAAAUUCGCUUAAUCCCACUUUCUCUGAUGCAGUGUGAAUGGGAAAUGCACAUAAGGAGAGAAGCAUGGAAGGAACAAUGGGUACUUGCUCUUCAAUGAUAUCAUUCAUUCAACUCAUAUGAAUUGAUGACUUAUGAUGUGCCAGGCACUGUACCAGUGGCUGAGCAAAAAACUAACAAAGUCCUCAUACUCAUAGGUCUCAGAGAUUAUUAAAAGAAAUGGACAUUGUUCAAAUCAUCAGGCAAAGAAAUGUAAACAUAAAAGAGUUUUAACUUUAUUGACAUAAAGGUCUGUGUUCCUUAGCACUUCUUACGUAUAGAUUUGGUUGUAGGGACCAAGGCCCUGAAAAGUCACUGACAUGAAGCAGAUGGAUUAAUAGGAGAAAAAGCAUUCAAAUUUAUUUAACAGGUAUACACAGGCACCUUCAGAAUGAAGACCCAAAGAGAC